UACGUAGGGUGCAAGCGUUGUCCGGAAUUAUUGGGCGUAAAGAGCUCGUAGGCGGUUUGUCGCGUCUGCUGUGAAAGUCCGAGGCUCAACCUCGGAUCUGCAGUGGGUACGGGCAGACUAGAGUGUGGUAGGGGAGACUGGAAUUCCUGGUGUAGCGGUGGAAUGCGCAGAUAUCAGGAGGAACACCAAUGGCGAAGGCAGGUCUCUGGGCCACAACUGACGCUGAGGAGCGAAAGCAUGGGGAGCGAACAGG
rnacentral:rRNA from 1 species